UUACUGUCUAUUCCUUGCAUGGACUAAUUCCCCUCUUUCAGAAGAAUCUUCCGUCUAUUGCUUUAGGCUGAGAUAGAUAUUCUUUCUGUCAUUUUGAGCUUAUCAUAUUUCUCCCUUCUCUUUCCUCCCUCCUAACCUUCCCAUAUAACCCUCACUGUUCACCGCCAACUUCACUAACUGUUACUGCAUGCAUAUGUAUAUACUUACACAUUUCUAAAUAUAACCUGUUCAAUUUAUAUAAUGCUACUUGUGGCCUGACUGCUUGCAGCCAAUUCUCUGGAGGAAGAUCACAUCUCCAACCCCCAGCUUUCCUCACUUGCCUGUCUUUCUCCUAUGACUGCUCUUCCCAAGAACACUGGCAGCCGAAAUUCUUCAAAAGGCAUUUUAAAAUAGAACAGCUAUGUGAUUAAUUGUAGGCUGUUUGUGAUUCUUGCAAAGUCUAACAUCCAGCUUUGUUUCAUUUAUUGGAACCCUGUGAUAAAUUGUCUGAAGAUACAUGAAUCUAGGAGUCACGAAUACUGCAGAGGUAAGCUAGUCCUAAGCUUACAGAGUGUGAUGGUCUUCCUUUGUGAUUGAAGCUUCCAUCAGAAAUUGCUAGCUUAAAGACUGUAGUGCAUUGGAAUCUAUCUAAAGGGCUUUAUCCUUUGAGAAACAACAACCUCAGUAAAAAGACCUCAUCACUUACAGCAAGGCUGGAUUGCACUCCUUUCUCCUAGCUUUGCACUCGCUUUGUAGUGG
rnacentral:lncRNA from 1 species